UGUGUGUCAAGCUAAAUGGAUAACAGCAGAUACAGAUCUGUUUGCCUGUCUGCACUUGCCUUUAGACAAAAUUCAUCAAUUUUACAAAAGCCACUGACUAAACAUGGCACCAAUACAAAUGAAGCACUUCUAGCAGGUGGGGUUUCCCUUUGUUUCUGAUCUGGUAAAUGCAGUAGUUUCCUGCCGAGAGAUGGGAAGUGCUGGCCUAGGACAGCAAGGUGCCCUACAGGUGGGGCCAAAAGGGUCAAGACCAUUCUACAGGAAGUUUAGGAGACGUUCAAUGGUUCCAGAUCCUGUGUGAUUCGGGUAAUUCUGACCCUCUUCAUUAGUGAUAAUGGCGUGAAGCUCUUUCACACAGUCUUAUUUUUUUUUUUUCAGACAGGGUCUCACUCUGUCACGUAGGCUGGAGUGCAGUGGUGAGAUGACAGCUCACUGCAGCCUUGACUUCAUGGGCUCAAGCGAUCCUCCUGCCUCAGCCUCCUAAGUAGUCGGGAUCAUAGGCACUUGCCACCACACCCGGCUAAUUUUUUUGUAGAGACAGGGUUUCACCACAUUGCCCAGGCUGGUUUCAAACUCCUAGGCUCAAGUGAUCUGCCUGCAUCGGCCUCCCAAAGCGCUGAGAUUACAAGCAUGAGCCACUAAACCUUGCCCUCGACACAGCCUUGCUUGGUGUUAAAGAUUAAACAAAGACCACAGGUGAUCACUCUCUUCAUGAUGCCAGUUUCAAGGGCACCCUUCUUCCCUUCCCAGCCUCCGAGGGAAGGAGAGAGGUUCCACAAGCCAGAUCCAUCCCCAUCCACACAGGUAAAACUAUGGCUGUGCAGCUAGCAGGUAGAGAUAACAUUUGGAGAAGGGCUUUGUAAAUGCUAAAGUCCUACUCAAGUCCAAGGGAGAGAAAUUAUUAUUAUUCAUUUUGUGAAACCAAUUUAGCUUGGGUGGGUGAUGGAAGAAUUUCUACAUACAUUCAUUACUUCUGAUCAGGCAAGACCAGUCUGACACAGGAACAGUAUAUGGCUCACUCUUAAAGCCACAGCAGGCAGCCAGGGCUUGGAGAAAUAGAAACCUCUCUUGCACAAGAAUAGUCUCAAUGAAUCAUGUUAAGGCCUCUUUAAGUUUUUCAGACUCCAUGCACCCUGUGAAAACUGCCUUUCUUGAGUAGAGGUACGUUCAGCACUUCAUAAAAUAAUCUUGGAGCCUCCAGACACACGGAUGGAGGAGCAUGAUUUCAUUUGUUUCUUUGCAAAACUGCUGUCCCCAACUGAAAAACCUGAUUAUCCUUUCAAAUAGGGAAUUCGGCUUUCCACGUUGGAACCAGCACAGUUAACCCCCAAACCCCCAAGGCCUGCAAGAGAUGAAUCAAUUUCUCAGACAGCCAAAGCUGUGGCUUAUAACUCAUCCAACCCAGAAAACUGGACCGCUGGUCACCUUCCUUCCCCCUGCCCCCAUCUCUGCAGACAAAGGUUUCCAGUUGAUUAUGCCUUGAUUAGAGUCAGGAGAGAAGCAAACCAGGUAUAUAGGAUUCCCAUUAUCCUUCCCUCCUCUGCUCCCAACCAGGGUCACGCUGAGAGGGAUCUCGGUGAACAUGUGAACAAUCAAGCCAUGUUUACCAUGGACGUUUAGUUUUCUUUUCUCAAAAUCAAAACAGAGUUUAGUAGGCAGCGUAUUUCAUACAUGCCCCUUGAUCAAUGGAAUGAUCUGUCAGAAGCCAUUAAAGCCCCCAUUAGCUUGAAUGCAUUCAAAGCUAAACUAUUGGAUCAUUUAAGGGCUGCAGUGAUUGUUUUUAAUAUACCGUACAUUGAUUUCUCCCUGUGAGCAGCAACAUAAGUUUGAAACUAACUGUGUAUGACUAAGGCUCCAUUUGCUGUCUCCAGCCCUCUGUGAGAAGCAUGGUUUCACUUCGACCAGAAAUGCCUGUGUAUAGUUUUCAAAGAGAUGCAGACCCUGUUCGAUUUCCCAAGGUUUAGACUGGGUCGGGUUGUUAUUUCUUUUUUCCCUGAGCUUUCUCCCAUUUCUUUGUGCCCAUUAAGUGAGCUGUGCGUGCAGAAUUGGAGAGGCAUCCCUGCAAGGACUUCAAGUGAAAGGUGGUGGGAGAAAUUGUUCUGAAAGCAUGAAGCCCAGCUGAGGCCAAAAUCAAAGUGAAUUUGACAGCCUUGGGCCAGCAAAACUCUGUACCCAGCAGAAAGCAAUAGAUGUGUGGCUGUGUCAGGGGCGUCCUCACUGGGACAUAGCUUGGGAGGCUGAAGGUACCUUGGAAGGGCCAGAUGAGGAAGCUAGCCAAGGCCACAGGCCCUCCUCGGACUGCUAUAUUGCCAGCUCUUCAUAGUAUUGACUCUUCAGUCUUAUUCAGUCUUAGCCAACACACACUUGUUGAUUCCUUCUGGAAUAUCAGACUCUGCUAGCAACACAAGGUCCCUGUCCUCAAAAUCUUAUUCUUAAUCAGCAUUUCUGAUUUCUGCCCUUUGCUCAUUUUAAUACAGAGCCUGAGGAUAGGAGAGCAGCGUGGUGAAAGAAGCAAUAGUUACCACAUUUGCAAAGGCACAUACCCCAAAGAGAAGUUUUUAAUAUGUCACACCCAUUUUACAGAUGGGGCAAUGGAAGUCCAGAUGGGAGAAGCUAUUUCAGGUGAAUUAUAGAAACUGGAUUUCAAGUUUCUGAAACAUGGAAAAAAGAGCGAUGCUAUUAAGGAGGAAAAUCGAGCCAGGAGCAAAACCUAAGGCUAUUUCUGAACUAAAGAGGCCUGAAUAAGGUAGUGAGAGGACCAGGGAAAGCCUUCCCACGGGGAUGGAGAGCCACCCCCUCACCGGCUUUCUGGUUCAGAUGUCUUGGCUCAACAGAGGGCAGAUUCGCAGGGAAGCAGGCCGAGCCUGAUCUUUUCUCCGCUAGAACUGCUCAACAGGUGAAGAAUCUUUUUCCAGCACUCCUGAGCCCUUCGGGUCGCGGAACAGUGCGAAGAUUAUUCCAAUGCCUCAUUAGGAGAGGUGAUAAUCUGGUCUGUGGUUUCUUUUUCGGUGGGGCAUGGUGUGAGGGUGAGUGUCAUGCUUUCUAAGGCACAGGGCUGACUAAAGGGUGUCCUAUUUAUAAGUCAGUAAAACACAGCGGCUUCAUACUCUGUGCUUAUUACCCAGAAGCCCCGGCUCUUAGAGUUUCUAUUAAGAUGUACCCCAUAAAUAUAUGCGCCUCCUAUGUACCCACAAAAAUUAAAAAUAAAAAAAAUUGAAAU